UACGUAGGUGGCAAGCGUUGUCCGGAAUUACUGGGUGUAAAGCGCGUGUAGGCGGCAGACCAAGUCGGCGGUGAAAGCGCCCGGCUCAACUGGGCGAGGUCCGUGGAAACUGGUCAGCUGGAGGACGGUAGAGGCGAGUGGAAUUCCCGGUGUAGUGGUGAAAUGCGUAGAGAUCGGGAGGAACACCUGUGGCGAAGGCGGCUCGCUGGGCCGGUCCUGACGCUGAGACGCGAAAGCGUGGGGAGCAAACAGG
rnacentral:rRNA from 1 species